GCACCGAAUGCCAGCGGAACUACAUCAUUCUGAUUGACGUAUUGUGGGUUCGAAUCCCGCCCGGGAGCCCAGCGCUUCUCGGUAGUGUAAAAGGUAACACGCGAGCGAGUUUCACUAACCCUUGUCGGUGCACC
rnacentral:Y_RNA from 1 species